CCUACGGGUGGCAGCAGUGGGGAAUAUUGCACAAUGGGGGAAACCCUGAUGCAGCGACGCCGCGUGAGUGAAGAAGUAAUUCGUUACGUAAAGCUCUAUCAGCAGGGAAGAAAAUGACGGUACCUGAGUAAGAAGCCCCGGCUAACUACGUGCCAGCAGCCGCGGUAAUACGUAGGGGGCAAGCGUUAUCCGGAUUUACUGGGGGUAAAGGGGGCGUUGACGGUGCGCCAAGUCUGGAGUGAAAUGCCGCAGCUUAACUGCGGAACUGCUUUGGAAACUGGCGUACUAGAGUGCAGGAGGGGUAAGCGGAAUGCCUAGUGUAGCGGUGAAAUGCGUAGAUAUUAGGAGGAACCCCGGUGGCGAAGGCGGCUUGCUGGACCGUGACUGACGUUGAGGUUCGAAAGCGUGGGGAGCGAACAGGAUUAGAUACCCGGGUAGUC
rnacentral:rRNA from 1 species